GGAAAAGCACCAAUUCGCUUUCAGAUGGCGCCCAAACCGGGAUUAGCUAGUAGGUGAGGAAAGGGCUCACCUAGGGCGACGAAUUUCUAGCUGGUCUGAGAGGAUGAUCAGCCCACAUUGGGACUGAGACCCGCCCCCGACUCCUUCGGGAGGCAGCAGUAGGGGAAUAUUGCACAAUGGGGGGGGAACCCUGAUGCAGCCAUGCCGCGUGUGUGAAGAAGGCCUUCGGGUUGUAAAGCACUUUCGGAGGGGAGGAACAAAUGACGUUACCCUCAGAAGAAGCACCGGCUAACUCCGUGCCAGCAGCCGCGGUAAUACGGAGGGUGCAAGCGUUAAUCGGAAUAACUGGGCGUAAAGGGCAUGCAGGCGGUCGGACAAGUAGGAUGUGAAAUCCUGGGGCUCAACCUCAGAACUGCAUUCUAAACUGUUCGACUAGAGUAUUGCAGGGGGAGACGGAAUUUCAGGUGUAGCGGUGGAAUGCGUAGAUAUCUGAAAGAACACCAAAGGCGAAGGCAGUCUCCUGGGCAAAUACUGACGCUCAUAUGCGAAAGCGUGGGUAGCAAACAGGAUUAGAUACCCUGGUAGUCCACGCCGUAAACGAUGUCAAUUAGGAGCUUGGACUUAAGUCUGGGUUCCGUAGCAAACGCAAUAAAUUGACCG
rnacentral:rRNA from 1 species